UACAGGGGGGGCAAGCGUUGUUCGGAAUUACUGGGCGUAAAGGGCCAGUAGGCGGCCAACUAAGUCAAACGUGAAAUCCCUCGGCUUAACCGGGGAACUGCGUCUGAUACUGGAUGGCUUGAGUUUGGGAGAGGGAUGCGGAAUUCCAGGUGUAGCGGUGAAAUGCGUAGAUAUCUGGAGGAACACCGGUGGCGAAGGCGGCAUCCUGGACCAACACUGACGCUGAGGAGCGAAAGCCAGGGGAGCAAACGGG
rnacentral:rRNA from 1 species